rnacentral:rRNA from 1 species
CCUACGGGUGGCUGCAGUGGGGGAUAUUGGACAAUGGGGGGAACCCUGAUCCAGCGACGCCGCGUGAGUGAAGAAGGAUUUCGGUAUGUAAAGCUCUGUCAGCAGGGAAGAAAGAAAUGACGGUACUGGACCAAGAAGCCCCGGCUAACGACGGGCCAGCAGCCGCGGCAAUACGUAGGGGGCAAGCGUUAUCCGGAAUUACUGGGUGUAAAGGGAGCGUAGACGGUUAAGUAAGUCUGGAGUGAAAGGCCGGGGCCCCACCCCGGGACUGCUCUGGAAACUAUUGAACUUGAGUGCAGGAGAGGUAAGCGGAAUUCCUAGUGUAGCGGUGAAAUGCGUAGAUAUUAGGAGGAACACCAGUGGCGAAGGCGGCUUACUGGACUGCCACUGACAUUGAUGCUCGAAAGUGUGGGUAUCAAACAGGAUUAGAUACCCCUGUAGUC